GUUUGUAUUCAUUACAGUUCAUUUAAAUCAGGAAAAAUCCUUUCCGUUGGAGGUUAUCAAAAGUUAAAAUAUUUUUUAGGAAGCUUAGUAGAAUUGAAAUGUCAGGGGUAAUUUUCAUAUUAGAAGGAAAAAGUUACUAAUAUAGGUUUCCUCCUGUGUUCUACAGUCUGUCCAAUGAAGAGGCUGCUUUGAGGCUGCUUUGAGAUGCUAACCAGGGAGAAGAAAUGGGUGACAGUUGGCGACACAUCCCUCAGAAUUUACAAAUGGGUACCAGUAACAGAGCCCAAAGUUGAUGAUAUCUCAAAGUU